AUUGAACGCUGGCGGCAGGCCUAACACAUGCAAGUCGAACGAGUGGCGGACGGGUGAGUAAUGUCUGGGAAACUGCCUGAUGGAGGGGGAUAACUACUGGAAAAGGUAGCUAAUACCGCAUACCAUCAGAUGUGCCCAGAUGGGAUGUGCUAGUUGGUGGGGUAACGGCUCACCAAGGCGACGAGCCCUAGCUGGUCUGAGAGGAUGACCAUGCACACUAGAACGAAGACACGGUCCAGACUCCUACGAGAGGCAGGAGUGGGAAAUAUUGCACAAUGGGCGCAAGCCUGAUGCAGCCAUGCAGCGUGUAUGAAGAAGGCCUUCAGGUUGUAAAGUACUUUCAGCGGGGAGGCGUUACCCGCAGAAGAAGCACCGGCUAACUCCGUGCCAGCAGCCGCGGUAAUAC
rnacentral:rRNA from 1 species